AUCGAACGCUGGCGGCAGGCCUAACACAUGCAAGUCGAGCGAGCGGCGGACGGGUGAGUAAUGUAUGGGGACCUGCCCGAUAGAGGGGGAUAACUACUGGAACCCGUGGCUAAUACCGCAUACUACCGGAUCAACCCAUAGGGGAUUAGCUAGCUGGUGGGGUAAAGGCUCACCGAGGCGACGAUCCCUAGCUGGUCUGAGAGGCUGAGCAGCCACACUGGGACUGAGACACGGCCCAGACUCCUACGGGAGGCAGCAGUGGGGAAUAUUGCACAAUGGGCGCAAGCCUGAUGGAGCCACGCCGCGUGUAUGAAGAAGGCCUUCGGGUUGUAAAGUACUUUCAGCGGGGAGGCGUUACCCGCAGAAAAAGCACCGGCUAACUCCGUGCCAGCAGCCGCGGUAAUAC
rnacentral:rRNA from 1 species